rnacentral:rRNA from 1 species
ACUCCUACGGGAGGCAGCAGUGGGGAAUAUUGCACAAUGGGCGCAAGCCUGAUGCAGCCAUGCCGCGUGUGUGAAGAAGGCCUUCGGGUUGUAAAGCACUUUCAGUUGUGAGGAAGGUGGUGGUCGUUUAAAUAGCCGGCACAUUUUGACGUAUGCAACAGAAGAAGACACCGCUAACGUCCUGCCAGCAGCCGCGGUAAUACGGAGGGUGCGAGCGUUAAUCGGAAUUACUGGGCGUAAAGCGCAUGCAGGUGGUUUGUUAAGUCAGAUGUGAAAGCCCGGGGCUCAACCUCGGAACUUGACA